rnacentral:rRNA from 1 species
CUGCCAGAAUUCUUAUGCUUGUCCCGAAGACUCAAGCCAUGCAUGCCUAGAAGAAAAAUUUACGCCCGACUGGUGCUCUAUAGUGCCGACUGGUGUGUUAAGGAAUCAGCGAACGGCUCCGCAUAUCUGUUGUCACCUAUCGUGGUAAAUACGGCGUGGAUAGAGCACGGAAAAGCUGUGUAUAACACAGACAAGUGGGGUCACCGCUGCCCGUUGGCAUGGGGAGUAGGGGUAAGUGGGCCCAUAACCAUGGGCCUCACCUCAUGAACGGCUCUCAAAGUACUUCCGGGACUAAACACCCCGGGGCGAAACAGAGGCCUCUGCUACCGGACAGAGUCACCGAGUGCCCUGCGGGGUUGGUCUUGUCUGGGUAUCUGGCAGAGCCCAUCCACAAGCGCACGAUGGACUUCAGACCUAUCAGCUAGACGGUAGGGUAUUGGCCUACCGUGGCGAUGACGGGUACAGAGGAUUAGGGUUUGAUCCUGGAGAGGUAGCCUGAGAAAUCGCUCCCACUUCUAAGGAAGGCAGCAGGCGCGUAACGUUCCCAAUGCUAGGACCCCUAGUGAGGACGUAAUGGGACAUAACAAUACCCCUAUUGGAUAGUGGGUAAUUGACAAUGGGGC